rnacentral:rRNA from 1 species
UACAGAGGGGGCAAGCGUUGUUCGGAAUUACUGGGCGUAAAGGGCUCGUAGGUGGCCAACUAAGUCAGACGUGAAAUCCCUCGGCUUAACCGGGGAACUGCGUCUGAUACUGGAUGGCUUGAGUUCGGGAGAGGGAUGCGGAAUUCCAGGUGUAGCGGUGAAAUGCGUAGAUAUCUGGAGGAACACCGGUGGCGAAGGCGGCUAUCUGGACAGUGACUGACGCUGAGACGCGAAAGCGUGGGGAGCAAACGGG